GACGAACGCUGGCGGCGUGCUUAACACAUGCAAGUCGAACGGAAAGGCCCUGCUUUUGUGGGGUGCUCGAGUGGCGAACGGGUGAGUAACACGUGAGUAACCUGCCCUUGACUUUGGGAUAACUUCAGGAAACUGGGGCUAAUACCGGAUAGGAGCUCCUGCUGCAUGGUGGGGGUUGGAAAGUUUCGGCGGUUGGGGAUGGACUCGCGGCUUAUCAGCUUGUUGGUGGGGUAGUGGCUUACCAAGGCUUUGACGGGUAGCCGGCCUGAGAGGGUGAACGGCGACAAGGGGACUGCGAUACGGAGCAGACGGCUACGGGAGGCAGCAGGGGGGAAUAUGGCACAAUGAGCGGGAGCCUGAGGCGGAGACGCCGCGGGUGGGAAGACGGCCUGCGGGGUGUAAACCGCUUUAGCCUGAGACGAAGCGUGAGUGACGGUAAUGGGUAAAGAAGCACCGGCUAACUACGUG
rnacentral:rRNA from 1 species